rnacentral:lncRNA from 1 species
GCUGGUGUUGGUGUUAAGGAAAUGGUUGUUGGUCUUGGUAAUUUUGUGGGCUUGGGGGUUCGAUUUGCAUUUUUAUAGUUUCAUAUUUUUCUUCUCUUUGAUUUUCUGCAUAUUGCUCUUUAUUCUUUAUAUUUCGUCACACUUUUGAUUUGUUAUCUAUACUUUUUUCCAAUCCUUAAUAUUUUCUUUUUGACCAUUAUUUUCUCAU